rnacentral:tRNA from 1 species
GAAGAUGUGGUUCAGCUGCAAUACACAAGCUUAAAAUGCAUGAGGCCUUGGGUUUGAUUCCCAGCAUUAUCA